rnacentral:rRNA from 1 species
UACGGAGGGAGCUAGCGUUGUUCGGAAUUACUGGGCGUAAAGCGCACGUAGGCGGCUUUGUAAGUUAGAGGUGAAAGCCCGGGGCUCAACCCCGGAAUUGCCUUUGAGACUGCAUCGCUAGAAUUGUGGAGAGGUAAGUGGAAUUCCGAGUGUAGAGGUGAAAUUCGUAGAUAUUCGGAAGAACACCAGUGGCGAAGGCGACUUACUGGACACAUAUUGACGCUGAGGUGCGAAAGCGUGGGGAGCAAACAGG